rnacentral:misc_RNA from 1 species
GUGAAUCAUCAAAUUUUUGAACGCAAAUUGCACUCUCUGGUAUUCCGGAGAGUAUGCCUGUUUGAGAAUCAGUUUAAAUAAAAAUCGGUUUUGUUGCGGCCGUUCAUGGUUACGCACAGAAUUUGGAUCGUCUUGCCUUCGGAUAAGUAUCCUAAAAUUUUGCAUGAUUUUUUUCGAACGUAUUUAAAUGGUUUUACGUAAGUUUGCGAUAUCGAAUACUAGGUGGGGUCAUCCGC